CCUACGGGGGGCUGCAGUCGAGGAUCUUCGGCAAUGGACGCAAGUCUGACCGAGCGACGUCGCGUGCGGGAUAAGGCCUUCGGGUUGUAAACCGCUGUCAGAGGGGAGGAAAUCGCCGGGGGCUAUCCCCCGGUGUUGACCGAGCCUCAGAGGAAGCACGGGCUAAGUUCGUGCCAGCAGCCGCGGUAAUACGAACUGUGCGAACGUUAUUCGGAAUCACUGGGCUUAAAGGGUGCGUAGGCGGCCGCUUAAGUAGGGUGUGAAAUGUCCCGGCUCAACCGGGGAAUGGCGCUCUAAACUGGGUGGCUCGAGUGAGAUAGAGGUGUGCGGAACUUCCGGUGGAGCGGUGAAAUGUGUUGAUAUCGGAGGGAACACCAUUGGCGAAAGCGGCACACUGGGUCUUAACUGACGCUGAGGCACGAAAGCCAGGGGAGCAAACGGGAUUAGAUACCCUAGUAGUC
rnacentral:rRNA from 1 species